GCCCGCUUGGCGGAAUUGGUAGACGCACGGGACUUAAAAUCCCGGGGCCGCAAGGCCGUGCCGGUUCGAGUCCGGCAGCGGGCA
rnacentral:tRNA from 1 species